UACGGAGGGUGCGAGCGUUAAUCGGAAUUACUGGGCGUAAAGAGUGCGUAGGUGGUUUAGUAAGUUAGCUGUGAAAUUCCUGGGCUCAACCUGGGCGUGUGAGCUAAUACUGUUAGACUUGAGUACGGGAGAGGGUAGUGGAAUUUCCGGUGUAGCGGUGAAAUGCGUAGAGAUCGGAAGGAACACCAGUGGCGAAGGCGGCUACCUGGCCUAGUACUGACACUGAGGCACGAAAGCGUGGGGAGCAAACAGG
rnacentral:rRNA from 1 species